CAGUCGCCGCGGUAAUACGAAGGGGGCUAGCGUUGCUCGGAAUGACUGGGCGUAAAGGGCGCGUAGGCGGCUUGUACAGUCAGAUGUGAAAUUCCUGGGCUCAACCUGGGGACUGCAUUUGAUACGUACGGGCUUGAGUGGAGAAGGGGGUUGUGGAAUUUCCAGUGCAGAGGUGAAAUUCGUAGAUAUUGGAAAGAACACCGGUGGCGAAGGCGGCAACCUGGUCUUUAACUGACGCUGGGGCGCGAAAGCGUGGGGAGCAAACAGGAUUAGAUACCCCCGUAGUCCCUGUCUCUUAUAC
rnacentral:rRNA from 1 species